GAUGAACGCUGGCGGCGUGCCUAAUACAUGCAAGUCGAGCGAACAGACGAGGAGCUUGCUCCUCUGCCGUUAGCGGCGGACGGGUGAGUAAGACGUGGAUAACCUACCUAUAAGACGGGGAUAACUUCGGGAAACCGGAGCUAAUACCGGAUAAUAUAUUGAACCGCAUGGUUCAAUAGUGAAAGACGGUUUUCCUGUCACUUAUAGAUGGAUCCGCGCCGCAUUAGCUAGUUGGUAAGGUAACGGCUUACCAAGGCAACGAUGCGUAGCCGACCUGAGAGGGUGAUCGGCCACACUGGAACUGAGACACGGUCCAGACUCCUACGGGAGGCAGCAGUAGGGAAUCUUCCGCAAUGGGCGAAAGCCUGACGGAGCAACGCCGCGUGAGUGAUGAAGGUCUUCGGAUCGUAAAACUCUGUUAUUAGGGAAGAACAAAUGUGUAAGUAACUAUGCACGUCUUGACGGUACCUAAUCAGAAAGCCACGGCUAACUACGUG
rnacentral:rRNA from 1 species